rnacentral:lncRNA from 1 species
GGAAACUACUUGCUCAAAAGGAGACCAGAGGAAUGAAAAUGUGGUAUAACCAGGAGUUGCGAAGUGGACGUAGUUGUUCCUGUCUCAAUCUAGAUCAUCUUUGCUUUUUGCUUCUGCUUUGUGCUAUCCCUCUUCCUGUACCUCAAUUCUAGCUGGCUUCACCAAGUCAAGUAGGGGAGGACAUCUUCACUCUGCAACUUGCCCUACUGAAUGCAGAAAGUACUGUCUACUUAGAUAAAGC